CUACAUUUAAAAAAAAUGAGAUCAUCUGAAGCAUUCAAAAGGCGGUACGAGCGAAUUAAUUUUAUUAGUCGUUGUCCGGUGCAUCUACGCUCAAUAUCCAAAAGAAACCACAGCAGGAUCGAUCCAACUGGAUUUUAUGUUAAGAAUAUUGUCUUUUAAAUUGGAAAAGAACAUCAACAAUAAUGAAGACUCUGACUAUCCUAUUCACUGUUGUAGUGAUAGCGGCCCUAUAUAAAUGCUGCGAAGCUAACAUGUAUGAUGAUGCAAUGAGAGCAGCGGGCGGCAUGGCCAGAGGCUUUGGAAUAAAUGGGGCUGGAACCAUACAAGCAAGCAUCCUUGUCGGAUCCAUCAUCUGUCUCGUUGUUACCACAUUUAUUUUUUAGAUAGUAGAAUUUGCAUUUUGUAAAAACUGUAUACUCAAUAUAAAUUUUACCAAAAAGCUUGUCAAAUUAAUUGCCAUCUCAAAUUAUUAUUACAAAAUUUUAUUAUUACUUUUACGAAAAUAAAGAAAAUUUAUUUAGCAUUUAUACUUUUGUUUGGGUGUGACUGUACCCAAAAGUUUCAGUAAUUUAUAGGCGCUUUGGAUAAAAGUUAUUUUCUCUCUAGAAUAUAUUCCAAGUGAUUGAGUUCUAUUUUUUGAUCACCCCUACUAAUUUUUGACAAAAAUUUGUAUCGCACUUCAAACUUUUUGGCAGUCUAUGAAAUUCAACAUAUUUUUUUUUAAUUUGGCACUGUUUGGUGUUGCUGAAGGGUUAUAGGUCCUUCCAGUUGGUAAGACUGGCCGCUCAUAGCAGCGAUGACAUAUAGAAGUUUAUUUAACCAAGAUCAUUAAAGCCAUUUUGUCUUUUGGGCAGGAAUUCAAAUUUCAAGCCCUAAAAUGGCAUAUAAAUUUUUGAAUUUCCGAAAUUGAAUUUUAAGUUUGUGUUUUCUUAUUAUGUAAUUUUGAGAGAACAGUUUAUUAGUAAAAAUUGUACUAUUGAUGAUGUUAUAUAUGACGGAUGCUUAAAGUAUGGUUUUGAAUAAACUGUUUUCUGUA